rnacentral:rRNA from 1 species
GAUGAACGCUGGCGGCGUGCCUAAUACAUGCAAGUCGAGCGAACAGACGAGGAGCUUGCUCCUCUGACGUUAGCGGCGGACGGGUGAGUAACACGUGGAUAACCUACCUAUAAGACUGGGAUAACUUCGGGAAGCCGGAGCUAAUACCGGAUAAUAUAUUGAACCGCAUGGUUCAAUAGUGAAAGACGGUUUUGCUGUCACUUAUAGAUGGAUCCGCGCCGCAUUAGCUAGUUGGUAAGGUAACGGCUUACCAAGGCUACGAUGCGUAGCCGACCUGAGAGGGUGAUCGGCCACACUGGAACUGAGACACGGUCCAGACUCCUACGGGAGGCAGCAGUAGGGAAUCUUCCGCAAUGGGCGAAAGCUUGACGGAGCAACGCCGCGUGAGUGAUGAAGGUCUUCGGAUCGUAAAACUCUGUUAUUAGGGAAGAACAAAUGUGUAAGUAACUAUGCACGUCUUGACGGUACCUAAUCAGAAAGCCACGGCUAACUACGUG